CCUUUUGCAGAGGGAUAGCCCCGUGAAAUUUGGAUUAAUACCUCAUAGUAUAGUACAAUCCCAUGAUUGAACUAUUAAAGUCACCACGGCAAAAGAUGAGCAUGCGUCCCAUUAGUUAGUUGGUAAGGUAACGGCUUACCAAGACUACCAUGGGUAGGGGUCCUGAGAGGGAGAUCCCCCACACUGGUACUGAGACACGGACCAGACUCCUACGGGAGGCAGCAGUGAGGAAUAUUGGACAAUGGGCGCAAGCCUGAUCCAGCCAUGCCGCGUGCAGGAUGACGGUCCUAUGGAUUGUAAACUGCUUUUGCACAGGAAGAAACAACGCUACGUGUAGCGUCUUGACGGUACUGUGAGAAUAAGGAUCGGCUAACUCCGUGCCAGCAGCCGCGGUAAUACGGAGGAUCCCAGCGUUAUCCGGAAUCAUUGGGUUUAAAGGGUCCGUAGGCGGUCUUAUAAGUCAGUGGUGAAAUCUCCCCGCUCAACGGGGAAACGGCCAUUGAUACUGUAAGACUUGAAUUAUUAGGAAGUAACUAGAAUAUGUAGUGUAGCGGUGAAAUGCUUAGAGAUUACAUGGAAUACCAAUUGCGAAGGCAGGUUACUACUAAUGGAUUGACGCUGAUGGACGAAAGCGUGGGUAGCGAACAGGAUUAGAUACCCUGGUAGUCCACGCCCUAAACGAUGGAUACUAGCUGUUGGGAGCAAUCUCAGUGGCUAAGCGAAAGUGAUAAGUAUCCCACCUGGGGAGUACGUUCGCAAGAAUGAA
rnacentral:rRNA from 1 species